CAGUAGGGAAUCUUCCACAAUGGACGAAAGUCUGAUGGAGCAACGCCGCGUGAGUGAAGAAGGGUUUCGGCUCGUAAAACUCUGUUGUUAAAGGAGAACAUAUCUGAGAGUAACUGUUCAGGUAUUGACGGUAUUUAACCAGAAAGCCACGGCUAACUACGUGCCAA
rnacentral:rRNA from 1 species